rnacentral:rRNA from 1 species
AUUGAACGCUGGCGGCAGGCCUAACACAUGCAAGUCGAGCGAGCAGCGGACGGGUGAGUAGUGUCUGGGAAACUGCCUGAUGGAGGGGGAUAACUACUGGAAACGGUAUCUACUACCGCAUACCAUCAGAUGUGCCCAGAUGGGAUUAGCUAGUAGGUGGGGUAACGGCUCACCUAGGCGACGAUCCCUAGCUGGUCUGAGAGGAUGACCAGCCACACUGGAACUGAGACACGGUCCAGACUCCUACGUGAGGCAGCAGUGGGGAAUAUUGCACAAUGGGCGCAAGCCUGAUGCAGCCAUGCCGCGUGUGUGAAGAAGGCCUUCGGGUUGUAAAGCACUUUCAGCGGGGAAGCGUUACUCGCAGAAGAAGCACCGGCUAACUCCGUGCCAGCAGCCGCGGUAAUAC